AACGAACGCUGGCGGCAUGCCUAACACAUGCAAGUCGAACGAGACCUUCGGGUCUAGUGGCGCACGGGUGCGUAACGCGUGGGAACCUGCCCUUAGGUUCGGAAUAACUCCCCGAAAGGGGUGCUAAUACCGGAUAAUGUCUUCGGACCAAAGAUUUAUCGCCUUUGGAUGGGCCCGCGUUGGAUUAGCUAGUUGGUAGGGUAAAAGCCUACCAAGGCGACGAUCCAUAGCUGGUCUGAGAGGAUGAUCAGCCACACUGGGACUGAGACAUGGCCCAGACUCCUACGCGAGGCAGCAGUGGGGAAUAUUGGACAAUGGGCGAAGGCCUGAUCCAGCAAUGCCGCGUGAGUGAUGAAGGCCUUAGGGUUGUAAAGCUCUUUUACCCGGGAUGAUAAUGACAGUACCGGGAGAAUAAGCUCCGGCUAACUCCGUG
rnacentral:rRNA from 1 species